rnacentral:rRNA from 1 species
AUUGAACGCUGGCGGCAGGCCUAACACAUGCAAGUCGAACGAGUGGCGGACGGGUGAGUAAUGUCUGGGAAACUGCCCGAUGGAGGGGGAUAACUACUGGAAACGGUAACUAAUACCGCAUACCAUGGGAUGUGCCCAGAUGGGGUUAGCUAGUAGGUGGGGUAACGGCUCACCUAGGCGGCGAUCCAUAGCUGGUCUGAGAGGAUGACCAGCCACACUGGAACUGUGACACGGUCCAGACUCCGACGGGAGGCAGCAGUGGGGAAUAUUGCACAAUGGGCGCAAGCCUUAUGAAGCCAUGCCGCGUGUGUGAAGAAGGCCUUCGGGUUGUAAAGUACUUGCAGCGAGGAGGCGUUACUCGCAGAAGAAGCACCGGCUAACUCCGUGCCAGCAGCCGCGGUAAUUC